UACGUAGGGUGCGAGCGUUGUCCGGAAUUAUUGGGCGUAAAGAGCUCGUAGGCGGUCUGUCGCGUCGAAUGUGAAAACCCGGGGCUCAACCCCGGGCCUGCAUUCGAUACGGGCAGACUAGAGUUCGGUAGGGGAGUCUGGAAUUCCUGGUGUAGCGGUGAAAUGCGCAGAUAUCGGGAAGAACACCCGUGGCGAAGGCGGCUCUCUGGGACGGUACUGACGCUGAGACGCGAAAGCGUGGGGAGCGAACAGG
rnacentral:rRNA from 1 species